UACGUAGGGGGGCAAGCGUUGUCCGGAUUUACUGGGCGUAAAGAGCGUGUAGGCGGCCACGCAGGUCCGUUGUGAAAACUGGAGGCUCAACCUCCAGCUGUCGACGGAAACCGUGUGGCUAGAGUCCGGAAGAGGAGAGUGGAAUUCCUGGUGUAGCGGUGAAAUGCGCAGAUAUCAGGAGGAACACCAGCGGCGAAGACGGCGCUCUGGGCCGGUACUGACGCUGAGGAGCGAAAGCGUGGGGAUCAAACAGG
rnacentral:rRNA from 1 species